CCAGAGCGGCGCAUUGGGGUCACCCCCAGCCCGGCUUUCACACACACACACACACACACACACACGCACACACGGCCCUCCUUGUGCCAACGGCGGUUCACCCCUCCCUCGCACAACGCCCCCCCACCGUGUCGCCCCAAAAGAGGUGUAGAGGGGCUGUGUGCCCCCGGAAGGGGCGCGGAAGGGUUUCAGAUCUUCUCCGGUUCUCUCUCCUCUCCUGUUUCCUCUCCCGCUUCUGCAGCGAACGUUUGGGGAACUGCAGGGAAAUCCAGAGCCUGAAUCUUGAUUUGUUCCACCGAAACCUGAAUGGAGCAGGGGUCACAGAGCAGGGCUGUUGCUGCUGCCGGGGGAUUUGGGGGCAAAGAAGCACAUCCCCCCAGGAUUCCCGUUGGCAUUUGUGGUGCCAGCCCCAAAGCCAGCCUGUGCCAGCCCCUGGGCAAGGGACACCAGGAGCCCGGAGCCCCUUGACCACUGGAGGGAGCCCAUAUUGUGCCAGAAUGCAACAGAAACACGACGGGGAAGACAAAAAAAAAUACUAAAAUAUGAAAUAUCAGAUCAUUGUAGUCAGAACAAAGUGUCUUCUCCAGGUCAGACCGUGAUCUAUAGCAAUGCAAAAUGUUAUAAAAAUCAGAUUUAAAUGUCCCAUUGUACUUCAUCAGCACAAAGAAGAGAAAGAAUUAUUAAGAACAAGGCUCUUUUUUUUUUUUUUCCCCUGCUCUUAUUUUGAAUGUCAGUCUGGCACCUUUCACCGGGAGUGAAUUCAUACGCCAGGAUGGUGACAGACCUGGUUUGGAGGGAAAAUGCCCUUGUGUCAUCCCAGGGGCCAGCUGAGCUUCCCCUCACUCUCCUUCCUUAAAUGUAGGUCAGCACCUAUAGACCCCUUCCCAACCCACCCCAGAGCUGCAGCAGCUCACCACUGCUGCUUUCCAAGGACAUUGGGAAAGGAGAUUCCUUUUGGAAAGGAGAUUUCUUUCCUUUUGGAAAGGAGAUUUCUUCUGUUCUGCCUCUCUCACCCCAGAGAGGCCACGUGCCAUGUUUAAGGCACAACACGCACCUACAGGAGGCUGCCCUGCACCAAAAACUCUGCUUGGCAAUCGUGCCCAGGAAUGUUCCUGGUCCUCUAAAUUCCAUCUUGUGAACGUUGAAAUAUUUGUAAUUCAAUACACACUUUUAGCACACAAAUAUUUCUGGCUUCGCAGAGUGAUGCCAAGUUGCUGGAGACCCUGAAAUGUCAAAAUGGAAUAAAACUGAAAGUGAUUUGUGUACUAAUCUGUUUUCUUGGCCCUGGAGAAAUUACCAUCAAAAGCAUGAUAUAACCACAGCCCCACAGACACAGAGAGCCCAUUGUGUUUGACACCCCUGUUCUAAAAUACUGUCCUUAAUGCAUAAAAACACAUUCUAGUAAACUUUUGCUGUCUUAUCUGAGCUCUUUACCAUUGAAUACAGGGUUUUAUCUGAUGUAAUUUUGAUUUUUUCCCUCCCUACUUUGGUCUCCCACUGGGAUUUUGCUCUCCCGCUCCCCGGUUGUUCUCCUUGGGGGCUCACACAGAUCCAGGUGGGUUUUCCACCCCAGCACCAGCACCUGAGGCUCUGUAGCAGCUGGUGGCUGCUGUCACCACAUGGCACAUCUGUCCCCUGAUUGCCCUGAGCUGACAGGACCCUGGCAGGGCACAGGCUUCUCCUUGAGCUGCGUUUUUCCAGAGCCAUCACUGCUCCCCCAGAGUGGCUUUUGUGACCAGAGGUGAGCUGGGGUGAAGGGGACACCAAGGGACAGCUGAUCCAGAGGCUCAGUGCUCAAAGCUCCACUGCUGCCUGUGAAGCUCCUGCCCAGUCUGCUGUGUGUCAGGGGAGGGCUGUGACCAGAGUGUCCCCAGGAGGGUUGGGGGGGUGGCUGUGAGCACAGGCACUCGCACAGAUACUGCUUUUUUCCUCUGCUGAGAGUGACAAAGCCGAGCUAGCAAAGGUCUUCACACACUCAGGGCUGUGUUGGGGGGGAUCAACCACACCCAGGGCAAAUAUUCCUCCAGCAUAGACUUUACAUCUCUUGCUUGGUUUUGUAUCACCCAACCGAGCACAAAAUCAUCACCAAGCACUUCUUACCCAGCAAUAAGGAGCACACACAACAUUAAAGUCAAAGCCCAAGCACUAGCUGUGCUCCAGUGACACAAACAACCCCAUUCCUUAGGGACAAUCCAGUCUCUGGUGCUGAACAGGAUUUCCCAGAGCCCACACAAAGUGAAGCUACAGCUCCAAGGCUUUCCCUUGUCUGAUGCUCAGAGGUUGGAUGGGCAGGAUCACUCAGGGAAGCCAGGAUCCAGCACACCACAGGCUCUUCCCAAGUUUUCCAAGGAAAAUAUGAACGUGCAAGAUGGGGUCCUUCUGAAGGAGGAAGAAACAUCCCUCCCUGGCCACCCUGCCACAAAUGGUGUCUUUUAGGGUGAGCACUUAAAUAGAAUCACAGAAUUCUUAAACUGGAAAAUACCUCAAAGGUCUUUGAUUCAACUGUAUGGAACUUAUACAUAUUUUUUAAUUGGAAAAACUCACUUUCAUAACUUAUGUUUCUCCACGUUUUCCUCCCACUUGCUGGGACCAUGCCCUGUGUGACACCUCCACAUCAGGGUGGGUGUACCCAGCUAUGAAUUUUUCUCUCCAUGGCACUGGCCCAAAGCAGAAAGGGCUCCUGAAAACCUGGUGCCCCACGUUCCUGCUGAUGUCUGGCACAGACAUUUCACAUCAGCAAACCCACUGUGGUGAGCAUCAUCACAGGAGUGUGACAGUUCACCUUUUACCCUGCGCUGGAUGAGCUGCUUCCCCUUUUUUUUGUGUAACAACCAAACACUUGAAACAUUUGCCCAGAAAGCACAACAUCUGGAUUCAAUUCCCUCCCCAACCCGAGAGUCUCCAACCUGUAUUUCCCACGAGACAGAUGUAGCACGAUGCUAAACAGCAAUCUGGCAGGGGGGAAAACAUGGUAUUUUUUAUUCUUGCUCUCCAAGCAGAGCUAUUGUACAAACAGGAACACAAGUGUCCUGAGGCCAAAAAGCGAGCAAGAAGCACAUGACUCCCUACCCUGCCUGCCACAGCAGCAGUGAUAACGUGUUCUGCUUAUUAUCAAUAGCUGUUUUACAAUAAAUGCAUAAUCUGCCCUGAACAGAGGGCUUAGAGCCCAGGGUUUGCUCACCCCAUAGCUCACCCCAUAGCUUAUUCUGGGGGAGAGGAAGCAAUGGUUUAGAGGUUGGAACCUUUGAAUGUGGCACCUUGGGUUAAGUCUCUAGGCUGGAGGAACGUGCAAAGAUGUAAAUUUCCCAUUGUGCUUUGAGAAUAAAAGUAUUGCCAUUAAUCAGCUGCCCCUCCUCUGUUUUUUAGGUCAUCACUUGUUGGUACAAGGGGGCUGGAACAAGAGUGUUCUAGUGGCACAAACAGUGCUCAUCAUCCAGGCACGGCUGCAAAUGUUACAGAAAGCUCUGGUUUUGCACAGAAAACCCUUGCUGAGCAUGUGAACCCCCAGUGAAAUACUGGAGUUGUCACCUCUGGCACUGACAGGGGCACCAAGCCAAGUGUUUGUAAUAAAAAUCCUGCAGCAGAAAGGGAAAAAAAACCCCUGAUUACCCAACAUUUCAAUGAACUGGGAGGAAGCUGCCAGUGCUUCUUUGCUGAAAAGAAGCCUUUCCAAAAAGGUUUUUCCAAGUCUCCUUCAGCUCGUAGAUUUUUAUCUUUACCCCACACAGAGCCUCCUGCACAUAUGGGAAGCACUGGAGCUGUUUUCAUGAUGUACUCAAAAAUCAAGGUGCUUUUGGUUUUCCUACCUGUUUGCAAGUCUCUCACCCCAAUGGAAUAAAAGCAGAGUUGGGGGCAAGCCAUAAAAAGGUUAAUUUGCUGUAUACACCAGUCUGACCUUUUUUUGGCAGCUCAAACAGCUGCACCCAGGCACCUAAGGGAUGAAAAUUCUUCAGAAACCAGGGCUAGGGAGAACACCUUCUAGCACCCCACCAGCCAUUAAAGCAGUGGUGAAAGAACUUGCAAAUACUAAAGUUAAAAAAUAAACCUUGGGCCAGGCACUGGUUUGGGCUGUGGCAGCCCAGCACCAUUUCCUCAGGACAAACCAGCCUUUGGUGGGGUUUUACAGCAGGACUUUAUAAUAAAUGUCAGUCAUCCAAUGCUGGCAGUGGAACAACAGGACAGAUUUCAGCCUCCACCAUUUCUGCCAGAGGAUUUCUUUAUAUCACGUGGCUGAGUGUGGACAUCAGCCUCCCUCCAUCACCUCCUGAUCCUGGGAGCUCGUCGGGGUAAAGCAUGGCAGAAUGGCAAUUCCUACAGCUGCAGCUCCUUCCUGAGCAGUUGCUGGGCCAGCAGCUUCAGCCUUCAAGUGUGAUCCUGAAGUCAUCAAACACUCCUGGAUCACGAGGCAGUUGAAGGAUGUGCGUGAGGAAAACAGCUCCCUCCCUGCUUGUAAUGCAGCUCUGGGUAUCGAUAUAUAUUCCUUUAAAAUACUUCUUGUAGCUUUUCUGUUACAGCCUCAAGGUACUACACAUGCUGCAGCACAACCUUCACACUGUUCUCUCAUGUUCAUGUUUCAAGGGGAGAUCAGAUGGAUUUCUCAGGUAAUACAAUAUAAGACAUUAUUUUCUUCUGAAACAUUUUUAAGUGCAGCAGCUUUUAGUAAUCUUCUAGCAUCUUCUCCUAUGUAUGACAGAGUCUAUUAAUGUCAUUUGCAUGAGAAGUUCACAAUAAAUCAUUCAUGCACAGUUUAGUACAGGUUAAGUGUAACAGCCUAACUGUGAUUUUCUGUAAGAAAAUCAGAGCAGCUCAUCAACUGGUGUAAAUCAGCAGUGCUCCAUCAAAGCCACUGAGUCACACCAACUAAUUGCUUGGCCCAUGGGAAAGAUUUAGGCAAAAAAGCAGCAGGGAAGAGCACGAUUCCUGCCUGUUGGAAGGACCUUCUCCUGAGAGCUCUCUGUAAAAAACCUUUCCAAAGAAAAUCCGUAGUGGAUUUUUGGUUAAUCCUGUGGAGCCAGCACAGCCUGGCUGGUCCAAGGUCAUCGCUGUCCUGCUGACAUCCCUGGACUCUGCUGUGGCCACACUCCUGGAGGGUGAGGA